CAAGGAAGCAUCCAAAGGGAUCGCAUUGAUCCAUUUUUUGCAAGAGAAAAAUCUCGAAACAGGAUCAUGCGAUCCUUUUGGAUCCCUCCUU
rfam:Ananas comosus cultivar MD2 ACMD2_Scaffold_954, whole genome shotgun sequence.